rnacentral:rRNA from 1 species
AAUCAACGCUGGCGGCGUGCCUAACACAUGCAAGUCGAACGCGAAAGGGACUUCGGUCCUGAGUAGAGUGGCGAACGGGUGAGUAACGCGUGGGUGAUCUACCCUAGAGUGGGGGAUAACGUUCCGAAAGGGACGCUAAUACCGCAUGAUGUUCCGGGUUUGAAGACCUGGAAACCAAAGCCGGGGACCGCAAGGCCUGGCGCUCAAGGAGGAGCCCGCGUCUGAUUAGCUAGUUGGCGGGGUAAUGGCCCACCAAGGCGACGAUCAGUAGCCGGCCUGAGAGGGCGGACGGCCACACUGGGACUGAGACACGGCCCAGACUCCUACGGGAGGCAGCAGUGGGGAAUUGUUCGCAAUGGGCGCAAGCCUGACGACGCAACGCCGCGUGGAGGAUGAAGGUCUUCGGAUUGUAAAACUCCUGUUGAUCGGGACGAAAAAGCUUCGACCUAACACGUCGGAGACUGACGGUACCGGUUGAGGAAGCCACGGCUAAACUCUGUGCCAGCAGCCGCGGUAAU